rnacentral:rRNA from 1 species
UACGUAGGGUCCGAGCGUUGUCCGGAAUUACUGGGCGUAAAGAGCUCGUAGGUGGUUUGUCGCGUUGUUCGUGAAAACUCACAGCUCAACUGUGGGCGUGCGGGCGAUACGGGCAGACUUGAGUACUGCAGGGGAGACUGGAAUUCCUGGUGUAGCGGUGAAAUGCGCAGAUAUCAGGAGGAACACCGGUGGCGAAGGCGGUUCUCUGGGCCUUACCUGACGCUGAGGAGCGAAAGCGUGGGGAGCGAACAGG